AUUGAACGCUGGCGGCAGGCCUAAUACAUGCAAGUCGAGCGAGCGGCGGACGGGUGAGUAAUGUCUGGGCAACUGCCUGAUGGAGGGGGAUAACUACUGGAAACGGUAGCUAAUACCGCAUACCAUCAGAUGUGCCCAGAUGGGAGUAGCUAGUAGGUGGGGUAACGGCUCACCUGGGCGACGAUCCCUAGCUGGUCUGAGUGGAUGACCAGCCACACGGGAACUGAGACACGGUCCAGACUCCUACGGGAGGAAGCAGUGGGGAAUAUUGCACAAUGGGCGCAAGCCUGAUGCAGCCAUGCCGAGUGUGUGAAGAAGGCCUUCGGGUUGUAAAGCACUUUCAGCGGGGAGGCGUUACCCGCAGAAGAAGCACCGGCUAACUCCGUGCCAGCAGCCGCGGUAAUUC
rnacentral:rRNA from 1 species